rnacentral:rRNA from 1 species
UUCUAUUUAUGGAAAUUGUAGAGGCUAGAGACAUAGCAAUCGUCAGGCUUCAGUUUUGUACUGACCACUCCAAGGCUUGUUCAACCUGGUGAAUCUUUCCUUCAUCUGCAUCAUUUUUCGCUUCAGUCUGUACAUCCUCGCCCUCCGCACAUCCUCGCCCUCCGCCCGCCGAUCCUAUUCUCCGCCGCCCGCCUUCCUCUGCUCAUCCUCUGCCGCCGCCGAUCUCAUCUGAGCCAGUACAAAUAUUGCCACUCAUCAACAUCUGCAGCAUCUAAGUGAAGUGAUUAUGUGGAUCUUGUGAGGAAAACAGAUAGGCCAAGAAGCCUGGGAGGUUGUCUACAGUCACUGGCCUGGUGGGUUUGAGGCGACACGGGCCUGCCUGGCUCACCUUCGUCUUCUUCCUCGCCCUGCCACACACAGGAACAUAGGAGGGAGCAGCGGAGGGGCGUUGCCGCAACGGGCCGACCGGGCGGGAGGCACCGGCGGGCUCGGGAGGAUGCGUUGCACUCGUCCAGACGGAGAGUAGGCGCCGGGGAAGACCAGGGCAGCCGCGGCUUGAGGCGACAAAGGGCAAGGGCGGGCGGCAGCCGGACUUGGGGGCAGCUGCCACAGGCACUCCGGCGGCGAGAUUGUCACACCGGUGCUGCAUACCACCGUGUGACUGCCAGUUGGCAUGCCAAGUGUAAGCGUGUGUGGUCCCACAUGUAAGCCGCUAGGGCCAGGAGCCAGUAGGUGUGCGUGUGUACUUAAGCCCUGGAGAUGGGCGUGUAUCGCAAGUCUGAAGAAGUAAACUAUUUCCCC